rnacentral:rRNA from 2 species
GUCGAGCGGAUCUUCAUUAGCUUGCUUUUGAAGAUCAGCGGCGGACGGGUGAGUAACACGUGGGCAACCUGCCUGUAAGACUGGGAUAACUUCGGGAAACCGGAGCUAAUACCGGAUAAUCCUUUCCCUCACAUGAGGGAAAGCUGAAAGACGGUUUCGGCUGUCACUUACAGAUGGGCCCGCGGCGCAUUAGCUAGUUGGUGAGGUAAUGGCUCACCAAGGCGACGAUGCGUAGCCGACCUGAGAGGGUGAUCGGCCACACUGGGACUGAGACACGGCCCAGACUCCUACGGGAGGCAGCAGUAGGGAAUCUUCCGCAAUGGACGAAAGUCUGACGGAGCAACGCCGCGUGAGCGAUGAAGGCCUUCGGGUCGUAAAGCUCUGUUGUCAGGGAAGAACAAGUACCGGAGUAACUGCCGGUACCUUGACGGUACCUGACCAGAAAGCCACGGCUAACUACGUGCCAGCAGCCGCGGUAAUACGUAGGUGGCAAGCGUUGUCCGGAAUUAUUGGGCGUAAAGCGCGCGCAGGCGGUUCCUUAAGUCUGAUGUGAAAGCCCCCGGCUCAACCGGGGAGGGUCAUUGGAAACUGGGGAACUUGAGUGCAGAAGAGGAGAGCGGAAUUCCACGUGUAGCGGUGAAAUGCGUAGAGAUGUGGAGGAACACCAGUGGCGAAGGCGGCUCUCUGGUCUGUAACUGACGCUGAGGCGCGAAAGCGUGGGGAGCGAACAGGAUUAGAUACCCUGGUAGUCCACGCCGUAAACGAUGAGUGCUAAGUGUUAGAGGGUUUCC